GUAAAUUCUGUGUUAACAGCUGUAGAUAUAAUCUGAAUGAGUUUGCUGGUGCCAGCUCAGAGAGGCUUUCAUUUCUUGGAGUGCUGCGUGUCCUGGCCAAGCAAACUUCAUUUGCCCAUUAACAAGCAUUUGUAACAGUGGACAAGUUGUCAAGAUGCAUUUUAAUACUUGUCCUUAAAUUUAGUGCCCAAAACCUGAGGAGAGGGAAGAAAGCAGAACAAACAAACAAAAUAAACAUAGAAAAAUGCUUCCUGAAAGGUGCUCUCUGGGCUUAAUUUUUGAAUCUCUCACCAAGCACCAGCAUGGGAGUUUCUGGUACUCUUUAGUGCUUAGUUGAAGCUUAAGUUAUAUUUAAACUCAUUGACUCUAUAGACAGAUAAUACUUUGUUACUUCUAACUUCAAGAAAAUGCUCUGUAAAAGCAUCACAGAUGUGAUAAAUGCUAACUUUCAGUUUAAGCUAAAUAUGACUUUCUGGUUAACAUCACUCAGCUGUGAAUGCAGGUGUCCCUUGUGUUCUCUGCGCCAUGUGGGACAGCUAGCUGCUAUAGUUCCAUAUACACCUACUUGUGUGAUGUUGUUCAUGUAACUGGCUUCUUUCUACAUCCACUCUCUGCUUCUGGUGGUAAUCCUGCCAGUGUGAUAACUUUUCCACUCUUCAGAGGUCAGUGUUAUUUCUAAGUGGUCUGCUCAGAACGCGGAGCUCUGCUCUGGGAGCACCCAGGUUCCAAUGCAGUCAUGUGCCAGAGAUGAUACGCUUUCCAAGAGGACUGUAGAUCUAUUUUCUCUUCUCUCGCUCUUUAAGAAUGUCUCGUUUCUGAUUGUAUUGCAAUGUACUUGGGUGUGCGUGCCUGUCUAGGUGUGCUGUCUUUCUAGGGUGCUUCAGGGUAAGUAAAAACAAAAGGAGGGAUUUCCCUCUCUAUUUUUGCCUAAGAAUCCUAUUCCCACAAAUUCUGUCCAGACUAACCUGGAGAUGGGUCUACAUUAGCAAGAAGGAAGCAGGCAGACCUGCUGAUGGGGUAAGGGAAAAGAUUUCAGCACGUCUGCAAAUUUGCAAAGAGGCUGAAGUUUGGGCAGGAGGUGAGCUAACAUCAGAUAAGGGUUCUGCAGGCUGUCUCAAACCUGUUACCCUGAGAGGUGGGGAGAGGGACCCACUAACGUGGUGCUGCUCACUGAAGGUAGCACGGGGCCUGGAAUGGGAAACAGCAAUUCAGCUGCACGUUGCCGUGCACUCUUGAGCUUGAAACUGUCUCUCCCUUUAAUAGCUACAGGCCAGCAUAAAGCAUGCUGCAAAAUAAAUUGAAUUCUGUGCUAACCCAGGUGGUAUAUGAUUAUCUCCUUCCUCCUGAAAGGUUUGCCAUAACUAUGUAUCAAAGCCUCACCUUGGUCUGAAAGCUGGGGGCAUCGGAGAAACUUACAGCGAGAGAAAGGAAUCCGGAGCUGAUUCUCUAUUGCUGCUGCUAUAAAAUUGCCCUUGAAUGUUUGCGGUGGCUGUGAUUGUGUUGAGGGAAGCAACCCUAAAUUAGCGAGGGGAGGUUGUAAUUGUGAGCUGGGCUUAGGGAAUGGGUUAGCAGAAAGGUUGAAAAUGCACAGGUCGGCACAGUGGUUUUGCCAGGUGCUAAGAUGUUGGAAAAUGCUGCAAUUAUCUAAUAGUAAUUCACAGCCUACGAUGCUACUCAGGCCCUCCCCUUCCUGUCCCAUCAAUAAUAAUAAUAAAUUAGGUCUUACUAUUAAAGUACAAAAACUGUGUCAAGUUUUGAAUUGUCUUCUACUGACACAACUAAUAUGUAAUCAAACAUUUAAUUAAGACUGCAGAAUAUUGCGGUACCGUGUAAUCCGUCUCCUUUCAGCCUCUUGAAAUAGUCGGUUCAAGCCAAGCACAAAAGAAUAACUUUGUAUAUGAAGCUUUUCAUUUCUGUUUAUGGUGAGUUUGAGAUUGGAAAAAGCAAUAAUGUAUUGUUUGUAGGGCUGAAUGAAGCCGAGGCUUUCAAGUCUGCAGACUGGCAUGUUUGAGGACACGUGGAAUCAAAUGGCUAUCAAGGAAGAAAGGAAGAGCUUCCUGAUCCCAGAGGGCUGUGGUUCCAAAAUUGCUGGCAAUUCAGAGAAGCAGACUGAGUAUUGGAAUUGGGUGUCUACGUGGAAACUGGUUUUGCUUUAUUGAGCAGGGUAUGCUCUUGUGUUACAGGAGCUGUGUGUACAAAGCCACAGCAGAUGGGACCUGCAGGACAACCACAGGCAUCGCUC
rnacentral:lncRNA from 1 species